GACGGAGGGUGCAAGCGUUAAUCGGAAUUACUGGGCGUAAAGCGCACGCAGGCGGUCUAUUAAGUCGGAUGUGAAAUCCCAGGGCUUAACCUGGGAACUGCAGCCGAAACUGGCAGGCUAGAGUAUGGUAGAGGGGGGUAGAAUUCCAGGUGUAGCGGUGAAAUGCGUAGAGAUCUGGAGGAAUACCGGUGGCGAAGGCGGCCCCCUGGACAAAGACUGACGCUCAGGUGCGAAAGCGUGGGGAGCAAACAGG
rnacentral:misc_RNA from 1 species